rnacentral:rRNA from 1 species
AUGGAGACCCUGAGGCUGCACCCCGUGGUGCCAUUGCUGCUUCCAAGGGAGUGCCAGGAGACAUGCAAGGUGAUGGGGUACGACGUGCUCGAGGGCACCACCGUUUUCGUGAACGCGUGGGCCAUCGGCAGGGACCCAAAGUACUGGGCUGACCCUGAAGGCACACACUUUGAGUUCAUACCGUUCGGGGCAGGACGAAGGAUGUGCCCUGGAGUGGCGUUUGCGCAGGCGAACAUUGAGCUCGCGCUUGCCUCGCUGCUCUAUCACUUCCGUUGGAAGCUCCCUGCCAGGGUCUCGUCUGGAGAGCUGGACAUGACGGAGAAGAUGGGCGUCACCGUCGGAAGGAAGAACAACCUUUUCCUGCACCCCAUGGUUUAUGUUCCGUCGCCGGCUGUAAUAUAG